ACGUAGGGGGCGAGCGUUGUCCGGAUUUAUUGGGCGUAAAGAGCUCGUAGGCGGCUCGGUAAGUCGGAUGUGAAACCUCCAGGCUCAACCUGGAGACGCCAUCUGAUACUGCCGUGGCUUGAGUCCGGUAGAGGAGCAGGGAAUUCCUGGUGUAGCGGUGAAAUGCGCAGAUAUCAGGAGGAACACCAGCGGCGAAGGCGCUGCUCUGGGCCGGUACUGACGCUGAGGAGCGAAAGCGUGGGGAGCGAACAGGA
rnacentral:rRNA from 1 species